UAAAAAGUUAGCGACAUAUUUGUCAAUGAAAAUUCCAUCGGUAGGUUUAUUUUUUCCUCAGUAAUUUCAAAUUAUUUCUCGAUUGCGAUUCCCCUUCCCCCCUCCCACCUUCCCUUUCUUUUUCACUCUGCACUUCUCUCCCCUUCGCACCUCCGAGCCCUUCUUGCCCAUUUCUUGCUGAUUGGCCAUCAUUUCCUCUACUUGAAGAGUCCUUGACGUCGACUACCUCCAACCCACCUCCACCGACAGCAUCUCUCCUCUGAUCUCCUUCAAUAGCCUAGGAAUCUUUUACAUGAACUGCUAUAGAUGUAACGGAGGCUCGUAAUAUAUGGGAAAAGAUUUCCAAGGACCGUUUCAAGGAUUUAUUAAGGGAUGAGCGAGAGAAGGCCAAGAAGGACGGGGACAACCUCGGAGGUGACAUCCUAUUGACAAAAAGUAAGUCGCAACCCUAGAAAGCUGUAGAGGUAUGGGACCAGUUGGUUGAUAAUGUAUGGUCCUAGCCAAGUGGCAGUUUGAGUCCAUACAAAGACAAGUGACAUUCUCCAAGCUCUUCAAGCACACUCACAAAUGGCGUAAAGGUAUUGAAGAAUUUAUAGAUAACAGGUCCAAGGCUAUUAGUGUAAGUGAUAAUAUAUGUGUGUAUAUUUGAUAUAUAUGUUGCUUACCAAUUAAAUAUCAUAACAAUUUUAAUUACUUUUUUAUAGAAAUUAUACAUUGCGACUUUACCAUAGAAGUACAAUGAUGUGAUAACGUCUUAAUCGAAGUUUGAUCCUAUAGCAUGGGAAGAGGCA